UAAUUUAAGCAUAUCAUGCUGAGAGCAUCGGUUCUCGUCCUAUCACCGAAGUUAAGCAACGUCGAGCCUAGUUAGUACUUAGAUGGGUGACCACUUGGGAAACCUAGGUGCUGUAAGCC
rnacentral:rRNA from 1 species